rfam:Magnetococcus sp. MC-1, complete genome.
UCCAUCGUGAGAUGGAAUCUGAAGGAAGCUGCUGGCAAAGUUCCGGCCCGACGAACAGGAAUCGCAUACGAGGCAGCCAUAUCUGGGCGAGGGAGCCAUGAUACCCAAAGCCCGAUCGUCAUCCAGAAGAUAGGGAAGUAUAUGCGGCGGGUAUAUGGAAUGAAGGUCUCGUGUC